ACCAUGUAAUGCCUCAGGAGUCUGUAGAGGGAACGAAGACGCGUUCUGCUGCACUUAACAGAGCUCAAGGUAAGUGAGGAAUCCAGACAGACUGCAGCCUUACUGCUGUGAAUGAUGUAUUGGUCUAUCGGGUGGGGAAGGCUGUGAUUUAGAGCUAAUACCUUGAGAUAAACCUCUGAUUCCUGCUGUUGUCAUGUAGAUGUACACAGAGACGCAUUAACAUAUAAAAGUACUUACACAGAGACGCACUAACAUAUAAAAGUUAUUUGAGGAAAUUGCACUUCUGAGUUUGUACCCUAUGGUUGAAUGCACUUAUUGUAAGUCGCUUUGGAGAAAAGCGUCAGCUAAAUGAAAUGUAAUGUAAUGUAAAAAGUACUUACACAGAGACGCACUAACAUAUUGGUAUGCACAGAGACUAGCUAAACAUAAAAAGCAAAUACAGAAAUACAGUUUAACAACCACAAAUAUAUAAUGUAGAUUUACACAUCCAUACAAACAUGAAAUAAUUAAAAUGUGCAUCAAAUUAAAAUAAUUGGAUCUAUGAAUCUUGUCUCACAUCCUGAUGAUCCUCCUCACGUCUCUUCUCCUUGUCUGUAGACCAACUGGACGCCAUCAGGACGCCACGUCAACGGGACGCCAUCAGGACACCAUCAGGACGCCACGUCAACGGGACGCCAUCAGGACGUCACGUCAACCCCUCAGGAGCAAAUCCAGAUCUACGCAUGACACACAUACACACACACACACACAGAUGUACACACAGACACACUAACAUUUGGUUCUAAACAAUGACACACACUAACAUUUAGAUGUACACAAAGACACAUUAAUAUUUAGAUGUACACACAGACACACUAACAAUUAGAUGUACACACAGACACACUAUCAUUUGGUUCUAAACAAAGACACACACUAACAUUUAGAUGUACACAAAGACACAAUAACAAUUAGAUGUACACACAGACACACUAACAAUGAGAUCUACACACAGACACACUAUCAUUUGGUUCUAAACAAUGACACACACUAAUAUUUAGAUGUACACAAAGACACACACUAACAUUUAGAUGUACACACAGACACACUAACAAUGAGAUCUACACACAGACACACUAUCAUUUGGUUCUAAACAAUGACACACACUAAUAUUUAGAUGUACACAAAGACACACACUAACAUUUAGAUGUACACAAAGACACAUUAAUAUUUAGAUGUACACACAGACACACUAACAAUUAGAUGUACACACAGACACACUAACAUUUGGUUCUAAACAAAGACACACACUAAUAUUUAGAUGUACACAAAGACAAUAACAAUUAAAUGUACACACAGACACACUAACAAUUAAUUCCACACACAGACACACUAACAAUUAGAUGUACACACAGACACACUAACAUUUGGUUCUAAACAAAGACACACACUAACAUUUAGAUGUACACAAAGACACAUUAAUAUUUAGAUGUACACACAGACACACUAACAAUUAGAUCUACACACAGACACACUAACAAUUAGAUCUACACACAGACCCACUAACAAUUUAGAUGUACACACAGACACAUCCUGGUGACCCUCCUCACGUCUCUUCUCCUUGUCUGCAGACCAACAGGACGCCACGUCAUCGGGACGCCUUCAGGACGCCGCGUCAGCCCCUCAGGAGCAAAUCCAGAUCUACUCAUGACACACCCACACACACACACACACACACACACAGACACACACACAGAUAUGUACACACAGACACACUAACAUUUAGAUGUACACACAGACACACUAACAACAUUAACAUGUUAAUAACUUUUCUUCUUUUCUCUCUUCUCAGGAACUGCUUCAGAUAUUUUCCCAAUGAUUGUAUUAUUAUUAUUGUUAAAUAUGUCGUCUGUUUAUUAUUUUAACAAUGAAAAUAAAUUUUAAUAAAAAUAAAACCAAAUGAAUCCGUCUUGUUUUCUU
ensembl:lncRNA